GGAGUCCGAGGUCGAUUCCUCAGGGAACGAAAUAUGGAUUAUUAGCGUAAUUUCAGAUGUAAUUUUUAGUUGAUCUUUAGAAAUUAAAAGCAGAGAAUAAUAUGUGAUUAAACAACGUUCAAGAAUAUAGAGAUGGCUAGGGAUCCGGAAUCCUCCUUAACAAUAUUACUUUCAAUAAAUAAACUCGGCGAUUCUUGAUUAAGGAUUAAUAUGAUAAAAUAGUUCUAAUCAUGGAGUAUACAAUCUUAGAACAUGAAUUCAACAUCCAAGUAUUUAUCGUGCCGAUUACGUCUACGAUAAAUCAAGCAUCAAAACAAUCCAUGCAUCAAUAUAUAUAUAAACCAUACAAGAUCUAUCUUAUAGAUGAGUAAGCAAGAAUCAAAAUCAUACCAAUGGAUAUUAAACAAUUAGAAUACAAGUUUAGAGUAUACUUGAUGAAAGCAACAUGCCAAGGGUUCAUCCAUCACCCUUUGCCAAAGGAAUUAGGCUCUCAUUACAAACAUCACCUCUUCCCUAUUUUUUUCUUUUUUUUCUUUUCGGAAACAGGGCAUACCCUGUUUCCUUCUUCUCUUUUCUUUCCCCUGCCGCCGCCCAACUCCUCCCUUCAAUCGCAGAGGCUCCUCUGUUUUCCC
rnacentral:lncRNA from 1 species